AUGUAAUAUGCUUUAUUUUUAUUAAGUAUUCCCUUGGCUGUAAGGUUUGUAGGUUUUUCUUCAAAACUUUCUUCUAUUUAUGGAGGCCUAGAGUUAAUUAUUAGUGAUGCUGUGUGUUGUGGAAUUGUGUUGAAUUUUCUUGGGGGUUUCAUAGGGUCAAUAGUCUUUUUUUUAUUUAUUUAGGUGAUAUGAUGGUUGUUUUUGGUUAUACUGUGGCUAUCACUAUUAAGGAAUAUCCUGAAACAUGAGGGUCAACUACUGAUAUUUGAGGGUCUUUAUUAUUAGAAUUAUUAAGAGAGUUGGCAUUGGUCCAAUGAAUAUUUGAGUAUGAUGGGGUGGUGGUCACAAUUAAUUUUAAUAGCAUAGAAAGAUAAUUAUUGAGGGUGAGAGGUUGGGGUGGUCGUGUGAGGAUUCUGUGGGAGCA
rnacentral:lncRNA from 1 species